rnacentral:rRNA from 1 species
GUCUAAGGCCAUGCCACCUUGAACAAACCCAAUCCCCUCUGAUCUCGGAAGCUAAGCGGGGUCGGUCCUGGUUAGUACUUGGAUGGGAGACCACCUAGGAAGACCAGGUACUGUAGGUG